UUAACCCUUUUUAACUUACCAUCACGUAAUAUUUUCCGCUUACAUGCCACGAGGAUUCUGGGCAGGGCCAGGUGGGGGCAGAGUGGAGGGGUGCAGAGGGAAGGAGGAUGUGAGGGGGGAGGAAUAAUAGAAACCUUUUUACUAUAUUGAUGCGAAAUGAAAAGUAAUUCAGAAAUGCAAUUUAGCGAUGACCUCUCCUCUGGGUGGCUAUGAAAAACAGCCUUGUUUUCUUUUUAUAAAGAAAUGCUGGCAUGCUUGACUUUAGUGAAUCAAGAGAAUUGUUUGGCAAAUAACAGUGAUGGUGUGUGUCCUUGUCAGAACACCUGCUGUAUUCUCCCAGCAAACACUGGGGCCACGGCGUCUCUCCUCUAAUGACACCUCAUCAAUCCGCUCCUAUCAAUGUCCCAGCCAUGGAGGUGACUUCGAGUGCUCAGAAGCCUUAGAAAAUGUCAACGUUUUGGGAGAAAAGGUGAGGAAAAAGAGACAAGAGUUUGGCAGCAAGUAACUUCCAGAGCUGGGAAUCAAGCUAAGCUUGCUGACAUGGUGUAUCCUGAAAUGGAGAGAGUUAAAUGAAGAAUUUGAAAUCCUCCUAAGGCCAGAAACCUGCGCGUGCUUUGGAUGUAAGUAACAUUUGUCAAGCCUGAAUUUUAGAAAGUUUGUAUAACAUUUAAUUCAUUGUUUUAAUCCAAAGGAGAACAUCCUGUUUACUGAGCCCUCAGAGUUGUUGAAAUAUGAAUAUGAAGUAGGAAUCCUUUCAACAUCCCAGAUUGUUCCUAUUUUUAUUUUUAUGUCUGAGAGUAUGGAUGUUCAGAGACGUUAAGUAACAUACUCUAAAUAACAUAGGUAAAAAGUACCAGGGCCAGGAUUUAAACCUGGUUUUGAUCAUUUUAAGGCCCAUGGGAAGGCCUACCACUUGCUAUCAAGACACAUAAAGCACAGUGCCUAGAGUGAGCUAACAACCUAUUAUAGAUUCCACAUGCAUCCCAUUUUCUGAGGCUUGUUAAAUUGUCUGAGAAAGGGCAUUAUGAUCAGUUUUCUUCAGUAAAUUUCACCAGUUUGGCCAAAGCCACUGAGGCAAGGUGACCUGAACGGCAUGUUGGUUAAUGUAGAUUCAAACCUGGAUGGUUGUUUUAUUUCUUUGUGAUGCUUGCCUGAUCUGGAAAGAAAGCAUAUCCUGUUGACUGAAGGAGAUUGGAUGUCAAAAACAGAAUGAGGAAAAUGGGGAUAGAGAAUUAUUGGGGCUCCUAAGCGAUAUGAAUGGAAUGGAGAGAAUCUGACAAAAAACGUUCUAUGGGGGACUUUUCCCUUGAUUAAAUUAGAGCUAUUUGAAUAGCUAAUUGAAUGAUAGGGUCCAGGAGAAAAGAGCAGCAACCUUAUGUAACCUUUCUUCUUAUAUUUUUAAGUCGUUGGGCAGUUUUACAGCACACCACAUUAGGCGGGAGCAAAGUUUCUUUGCUCAUGGUGAGUUAGCCUCAGAAAUUUCUACACAUACAUCUUUUAAGGAAGAUGACUGUAUAUUUUGGUCAAAGCUAGUAAGGUCAUUGCUUUUGUAUGUUGCUUAAACCUUUCCUGAUAAUGCGCUAUGAACCUCCCUUCCUAUCCCCUGUAGUUGCAUGACUUCUGCUGAGAAUGGGUAGGGAUGCUCAGCCAGGCUGCUGGCUCCAUGCUACUUAGCUGUAACUUAAUAUUCCUAAGUGAAACUUGUUUUGGAGCUUAAGAACUCUGGGAGGUAUUGGUUGCUCCUUCACAUUUCCUGCCACAAACAUUUCCAACUCUCCUUGGAGCAUAAGAGGUGUGGGAGGGGAUGGUGAGGUCUGAGGCAGCCUGCUGUUUGGUGGGUCACAGUUUCCCCUCACCAGGGCUCCCUUUACUCCUUUUGAGUGUGCUGAUAUAGAAUGGGGAUGUGUUUGCAGCGGAAUUUAGUUGGAAGAGAAGGGCUCUGUGGGUCUGGAGUUCAGUCUUUCAGUCAUGGAGCUGGAGUGCCCUCUGCUGCUCUGGAGAGGAAGGUGCAUGAACAGCAUGGCUCUUGCCUGCACUUUGCUCCAGGUACAGGAAAAUCUCCAAAAUGCUCCCUUUGAAAACCAGUGCUCGGUUGAUCACUAAGCAUCUGGUUUCACUCAACUGUGGGGACUUUGGCUUUUUCAAGAAAAUCUCAUUGAGGCUGAGUAUGCAACCAGACCAGAGCCCACAUGGAAGGUAGCUUUCCUUCGGUCAAAAGGUGUGACAGCCAUUUCAGGAUAGGUAUUUGGCUUAUUUUUCAUGAGUGUCAGUGUCACCAUGAAAUAAGUGUUUAUUUUGUGUGUGAUCAAUCUUUUCAUAUAUAUCUGGGAUAACUGAAUAUUGUUAUUCCAGGUUUGGAGGUUUCUAUAUAUUUUCCUUUUGCAGUGUGUAAAAUCAAUGUUGAAAAAUGUUCUUUGUGGAAAAUGCAAGCAUUUUUAAAAAACAUUUCUUGCUUUACUUUUUAAUGUAUUUUAUCAUUCUGCAGUGGCAUAUUUUUAUAUAGUCUUAUAAUUUACAACCACUUUCUCAUAAUCUCAUUAAAACAUCCUGGUAAAUCUGAUAUAAGCUAUGUAGCUCCUACUUUAUAGACAGAAAAGCAAGUUUAAAGUCAUACCCAGUCAUAUAAGCGGUAUCAGAAGUGAGAACUGGGUCAGCUAAUGUGCUGAGCUCCAGGAAAAGGAUACCAGUGAAUAGUUAUUUAAUACUUACCAUUUGUUAGCACCAUAAUAGUGUUUUUAAAUUAAUUAAUUAAUUAAUUAAUUUUUGUCUUUUUGUCUUUUUUUAGGGCUGCACCCGUGGCAUA